AAGGACGUGCUAAUCUGCGAUAAGCGUCGGUAAGGUGAUAUGAACCGUUAUAACCGGCGAUUUCCGAAUGGGGAAACCCAGUGUGWUUCGWCACACUAUCAUUAACUGAAUCCAUAGGUUAAUGAGGCGAACCGGGGGAACUGAAACAUCUAAGUACCCCGAGGAAAAGAAAUCAACCGAGAUUCCCCCAGUAGCGGCGAGCGAACGGGGAGCAGCCCAGAGCCUGAAUCAGUGUGUGUGUUAG
rnacentral:rRNA from 1 species